GUAAGGCAGAACCUGUUAGACGCAUGACAAAUUCAUAAAAUUAUUUUAUGAUUUGAAUUCGGCGCAAACAAAUACAAUACAAGUUUAUUUUUUUAGCCUAACAAUAUGAUGGCAGGAAUAUUUAGACAUACCAUGUUCGAUUUAUAAAAACGUCUAACAAAUAUAAAUUAAUUUAAUAAAUAUUAUAGUAUAUGCAAUUCCCAACAUCAGGUAAUACAUUGAACAAAUAAAGGAACGUAUAUUCAACGUCGAAACGUCGAAAUAAAAUUAAAUAUGAUGGCUACGGAUAUAUUUUUCUCUUGCGGAAUAUUAUCUGUGUGUGCGCUCAAACUGUACUUGUAAAAUAUAAAUUAAAAUUUGCAAGGAUAAAUUGGAAUACAAAUUAUGGAAGAUUCCUGCGCAAUACUAUAAUAGAAAACAAGUGUAGUAUGAUUAAAAAGUGACGUAAUGCUGAGUAACCGUCUAUAUUAAUGUUGCACGCCAGUUCUACACACAAUCAGGUUGUCGCCAUUGUGAAAAUGCAUUGAGGCGCGACACAGCAUGUAACUUGGUAGGAAAUGUCACGAAAAAGAAUAUUAUAUGAGAUCAAGGUGAGAGAUAUCGUGUUUACAACAUACACGUAACAAAAAAUUUACAAUUUUGUAUUACAAUAAUAAAAAAACAUUCAAUAAGCAACUAUAUUUCUAAGACCAUAUGAUCAGAAUGACGAAGAUAUUCUGAUCAUAUGCUCUUAGAUAUUUUGACAGUGCGAAUAAAUAAAAAGUUGAAAAUUGUGGAAAUUAAAUGGAAAGCAAUUAAUGUAAUGUAAUUAUCUGUUGAAAAGACAGGAUCUCCGAUAGAGCGACUUCGAUAGAUUUGUUCAAAGUUGUUCAGAACAGUCAUAAUACUUAAUAUUUUUCGUUCUUGCAGUUUUUAUGAAAAAGAAAUCUUUUCCAUAAAAACCUUCAUCAACUUUUCACUUCAAAGUGUAAAA